AUUGAACGCUGGCGGCAUGCUUUACACAUGCAAGUCGAACGGUAACAGGCCUUCGGGUGCUGACGAGUGGCGAACGGGUGAGUAAUGCAUCGGAACGUGCCCAAUCGUGGGGGGAUAACGUAGCGAAAGUUACGCUAAUACCGCAUAAGCCCUGAGGGGGAAAGUGGGGGACCGCAAGGCCUCACGCGAAUGGAGCGGCCGAUGUCAGAUUAGCUAGUUGGUGGGGUAAAGGCCCACCAAGGCGACGAUCUGUAGCGGGUCUGAGAGGAUGAUCCGCCACACUGGGACUGAGACACGGCCCAGACUCCUACGGGAGGCAGCAGUGGGGAAUUUUGGACAAUGGGCGCAAGCCUGAUCCAGCCAUGCCGCGUGCGGGACGAAGGCCUCGGUUGGUAAACCGACGUUUCAGUCCGGAAAGGAAAUACGCCAAAGACGUAAUAAU
rnacentral:rRNA from 1 species